UACGGAGGGCGCAAGCGUUGUUCGGAAUCACUGGGCGUAAAGCGCGUGUAGGCGGCUUGGUAAGUCGGGUGUGAAAGCCCGGAGCUCAACUCCGGAACUGCACUCGAAACUGCCUCGCUCGAGUCCCGGAGAGGGUGGUGGAAUUCCAGGUGUAGAGGUGAAAUUCGUAGAUAUCGGGAGGAACACCAGUGGCGAAGGCGGCCACCUGGACGGUGACUGACGCUGAGACGAGAAAGCGUGGGGAGCAAACAGG
rnacentral:rRNA from 1 species